UAUAAUGUCUCUACCGAGUGGAUUCGCUUUCUAGUGGACUAAGGAUCAGUGCACGUAAAACAACUGUGAAAGAUGAAACAGGUUGCCACCAUUCUGCUCGGAGUUCUGCUUGUUCUGCUUAGUGUAACUUAUUCACUUCCCCAAGCAAUAAAAGGAAAACCGUUGGGUGAAACAUGUAGCAAACCAAACUCAAUUGUACCAAUAGGACAAGGUAUCAACUGUGUUUGCAACCAAUUUAGCUACUAUCAAUCAUGUCGACGAGAAAUGCUGGAUCCACCUAUAAAAGAUUAAUUUUGUGAAUUUUGUUCAUGCCUUAUAAGGAGAGUAUAAUAAUUAAACUUAUGAAAAUAAAUAAUAUCCAAAUGUUUCAAUAAAUAAAAAUCGAUUCUGUCCAGUUUUAAGUUCAA